ACCACCCAGUGCGCAAAACCCCCAGUUCCACACUCAUCUGAUAAGGGCUAUAAUCUGAUACAUGUAGAGGCUACCAAGUUAGAGAAGGCUGCUGUAAUUGAAAUAAUCUUGGAUGUUUUGGACUUCACCUCCCAGAAUCCCUUACAAUGGUCCAUGCUGGCUGGGACUUCUAGAAGCUGAACUCCACAACAUCCAGGCCAAAGUUUGAGAACCACUAACAAGAGCACUCUAAUAAAGCAUUAUAAGCACUUCACCAAACUACAAAUCCCAGGAUUCUGUAAGAUGGAGCCAUGGAAGUUAAAUGAAUAUCAAAAUCUAAUGUAGAUAUCUUUGUCUCUUUCAUGCUGCAUUAUGAUAGCAUUGUGAUACUACUAUAAUUGCUAUGGCUUCAUCCUGUAGAAACAUGGGGUUUGUAGUUUGGUGUAGUACAAAUCCCAGGAAUCCAUGGGAUGGAGCUGUGUCAGUUACAACAGAAUAAAGUGCUAUGAUUGUGUAGUGCAAAGGGGCUCUUUCUCAUCCUAGUUGUAAUAAACAUAUAUGGCUAAAUCCAAUGCUUCUGUAUUUGUUGCCACAGAACUUCCUUACCCUUCUUUCUGCACCUCCUUCUGCAGCCCUCUUAUUGCUACCUAAAAACCAGCUUUGGAUUGGGUUCCAAUCGAAUAGAACCUAUUUUGGAAGGGAAAGAGAGCUGUAGCAAAGGGGUGGGUGGCAAAUAUGCUAUUCUGUCAACAAAAGUCAAGAUUGGAUUCUCCUGAUGGCUUCUAUCCCUGAAUACUUUGUACAGUGUAUCAUUUAUUCUGAUACGAUUAUACAGCUGUAGUUAUCACAAGUAAUUUGUUUAACAAUUUAUUUAUUUAUUUAUUUAUUUAUUUCAUUUUUAUAUCACCUUUCUCCCAAAAAGGCUCACAAGAUGAAAACACUUUUAAAAACAUUAUUUAAAAAACAAUUAACCUAGUUAAAACAGUGUAAAAUUAAGAUUAAAAACAUACAAAAUUUAAAAAACAUAAUCUAAAAACAACUCCGCAUUUGUGGUUAGAUUUUAAAGAAAAGGUUGCAGCACUGAGCAGCACUGAGAAGAUCAGAUAAAAGUAACUGAGAGACUGCCCAUGCUUUUUUUCACAUCUUCAUUCACACAAAUAACAAGUGGCUCACAUUAAGUGAGGAACACUAUGACAGGGUGCCCUCUGACAGAUUGCAUCUCUUGUUUACAGUAAACCUCUAGAAACACAUUAGAGUAAUGAGCCAGACAUGAUGGUGAAAGGAAGCUUCUUUCAUUUCAACAGGGACCCUGCUCUUAGGAAAACUGUCUUUGGAUCCUGGAUUGGACAGAGUGUUCUCUCCUAGCUUAUUUCUCAAGUUCUUCUGCAGUGACUAGAAGCUGAAGACUGCAACACACAAAACAAAAGUUAAUUUCUUUAACGGCCAGAUGGUAUUAAAACCCUCUCUCCUGUUAAUGGUGCAAAGCGGGCUAAAAGCAGCGAUCAAAACAAUUGCAGUUACAAGACACUUAAAGGUAUGUCACAUCCAAGGUCUCUGACAUAUUUGAUUCAUUUAUGGAAUUUUAACUCUUGUUUUUUCUUUAGUUUAGACAGUUGUUCUCAACUUUUUUUCAAAUGGAUGACUUGAAAAUUGCUAGGGCUCUUGACAGACUCCCUGACUAAAUGUUUUCAUUGUUGCCAUUGUUCUACAAAUCAAAGCACACACUUAAGUCAUGUGAAACCCAUACAAGCACACAGCUAAAAGCAGUAAAUAGACUUUAGCUGAAUAGUGGGCAAUGAAGACUAUGCUUCCUGACCAAAUGCAGCUGAGUAAAACAAUGCAAGUAGUGUAUGAGAGUGAUGCCAGUUCAUGCAGGAGGUAGAGUUGCACGUGUCAAUUAAAUAUAAAGAAGAGUAAAAUAGAUCUUUUUUUUCCUCUUCAGUUCCAGUAUAAUUGUCAAAGCCAACAUGGUGUAAUAAAAAUCAGAGGCCCUUGACCAGGCACCUAAGAAGGGCUCUCUUAACCAGCAUUUUGCUAAAGGAAACCAAGCAGACUGUGAUAGUUCUUUACGAUCAAAAUUGUGGGACCGCUAGACUGGGACUUACCCAGUCAAGAAAAUAAAAGUGCAGAGCUAUGUACGAUAAAUUAAGUUUCUAGUCUUCCCAUGGUCCACCUGAGUGAUGCUGAAGGCCACUAUGCAAAGGGAUCUUGUAGCACCUUUGGCUACUGUUUAAGAACCUGUGACUUAGAUUUUUUAAAAGUUGGGGGGGGGGGGGGGGAUUAGGCAUCAGAUAGACCCAUCAGUGGUUACUAGCUAUGUGACCUAUGGAACUUGCAGGAUUUCAUCAGCCCCAAGAAGCAAGCACUGGGAUAAACACCAGGAUGGCUUUCUCAUACUUAUGCUUCCUGUAGGAAGCAUAAGUAUGAGACUUCCUAGCUGGCUGCUUGUUGGUGAUGGAAAGCUGAUCUGAGUGUAACCAGCAUGUAUACCAAUGCAGAUUUUUAAAUACCAUGUUUUCCUGUGUGCUUAUGUGUAGAAUGACUAGUUCAUGCUUUUUAAUUAGAUUUACUUCCUUCCUGACCAUAGGAAGGAAUUUCAUUUCAUUUUCAGAUUGCACUUUGAUAUUCUGUGCUGGGGAGGCCUGCAGCCUUUCCAGAUAUAUCCUGUAAUUUAUGUUAUCAUGUGUCAUCUGUCUCAUUAUUUUUACUGUUAUUCUAAGGGGUGGGUGGGAGUGAAACCUUAAGUCUGGCAGCUUCAAAGUCAGCUGUAAACAUAAGUAUACACUUCAGAAAUGUGUUGGCUGUCUGUGGUCUUUUCUAUCCAGUCUUCAGAAGUAUUUGAAGCUGUUGAUGGGAUUAAUCCACACUGAUAGAUGUGUGACUAAAGGUCUGCUGUCCUGUAUUUUUACACUGUGUUCUGUUUUAUCAUUAAAUAUAAUUGAUGAAGUUAAAACACA